rnacentral:lncRNA from 1 species
CUUCCCAUGUCUGCCUUAGUCUUCUUCCCACCCUCUUCUCCUCUCCCCAUCGCCUUCUUCCCACCCUCUUCUCCUCUCCCAAUCGUCGUCUUUCCCAGCCUCUUCUCCAUUUUCUUGCCGCCUCCAUAUCCCCACCUUCUCGCAGCAGCGUCUUCCUGCCGCGCUUUUCUCUCCCCUCACCAUCUUCUCUUCCUCUUCCCCACCGUCCUCUCCCCACGCCCUCUUCUCCUCACUGUCUUCUCCCCGCGCCUUCCCCACAACCGUUUUGUCCCCCGUUUUCUUCCCCUCACACCGUUUUCUUCCCAUGUCCUCCCACCGUCUCGCAGCAGCGUCUGUCAGUCGCAAUCUUCUUCCCACUUUCUUCUCUCCCCCUCCCAUCGUCUUUUUUCCCCAGCCUCUUAUUCUCCGCCAUCUUCUUCCCCUCCCCACCUUCUCGCAGCAGCGACUUCCUGCCGCGUUUUUCUCUCCCCGCACCCUCUUCUCCCCUCUUCCACUCCCCACCGUCUUCGCCCCCGAUCGUCUUCUUGCCCACCCCCUUCUCGCGCUCUCCAACUGCCUUUCACCUAGAAGCGCUCCACGCGUGCGCCCGCCUGUGUCCCUGCGCCUGGUGUGUCUGUGCGCCCAGCCAGCCCCA